GCCUCUUAUUUCUGUGGAAACUGUAAACAUAUAAAGAGCACAACAUUCCAUGGAGCAAAUUCUCAGUUACAGAAUGCUAUUUUUUUAUUUUCAACACAAUCAAAAUCAUUGACUUUUUUUUUGCCUGCAAAAGCUUCCAGGCUGAGCUUAUAAAAGAAACAAAACAAACAAAAAACACACCUUAGACCACCUCGCAGAGGUGACCCAUAAUCACUACUGCUGAGCUGCUCAACCUGCCACCUCGUUGUGCUCACAUCCACUGUUUGGUUUCAGUAAAUGUUCAGCAGUUAUCUGAAAUUGGAUAUGACCUUUAUUCUGCAAUUACACACCUUUGCCUCAUGUGCACCUUCUGUCAGUUUUGUCAGACUGUUUCUCUCCUGCAAUUUUUGUCAUGGCAAUAAAAUGUAAUUGAGUUCUGGUGGGAAGGUUCAUCCCCUACUGCCAUACCACUACCAUCUGCCUCUGACGUUUUGGACAUGCAUAAUAAAGUAGGAGGCAUUACUUUCAGAGCAAAGUAACAUUUUCAUUUACAAAACACGUGGUGCAUAAUAAAAUUGUUCAUCCCACCAACCAAUGCCCAGCCAGUCCCUGAGUAACAGCUGACCCCUACAGCCUUGACCAGUUUAGGUCAGCAGUUCUACUUUUGUCUCCUCCGAGCUCAUUGUACCCCCUUAGCCUCCCUUGCUGGCAGGACAGUAUGAGAAGCUGAAAAACUGGAAUGUCCUAACGCUCUGCAGCGCUGUUAAUCAACAACUACAACAUUCGUGUGUUACCAACAUUGCAUCAUACCAUUAUGAAGAAAGUAACAGUCCCAGCCAAAACCAGGUCAGCUUGCUAACAAGUGAACUGUGCAUAAGUUUUAGAUGUGUGUGUUCAUCAGUACCUUAAAAAAUGAGAAAUAAUGUUCAAAUGAUUAGAAGAUUAGAACUGAGCUUAAAACAUGUCAGACAACAGUGAACCAACCAAUGCUGAAAAAAAUUUUUGAAUGGAAAAUUUGAUAUGACCUACAGCACAGGGAUAUGGCAAAUUUCAUCCCAAAAUGCCUGGACUUCUGACUAGUAAUCCCAGUUGACUGCUGUUUGUAUAGUAAAAGGCCAAUUCUGCACUGCCUGCCAGAUUGUGUUAGAGGGAGCCUCAGCAACACUUCUAUAGCCAAGUCAGGUCAACACUUCUGUCUGAAAAGAGAAGCAGAUCUUAGCAGCCUGACGAUGCAAAAUCAAGUAAUGGCUAUUUCUACAGACAUGAAGAUCUCUGCCCUGCCUCCCCCAGACAUGUGUAUUAUGCCAGGAGAACUAGCAGAGAGAGUGUAAGGAGUUGCAGAGGGAUAAAAACCAUAGGAGGAGGAGAGCAGAUGUGAGCAGAAUGAGGAAUGAGCUAAUCUGCUAACAAAACAAAGGACUGGACAACUGACAAUACAUUUCUAAAAUGACUGAAAUAUGACAAAAAUUUGAAACUUAGAAGAACAAUUAGAAUUUUCCUUAUAUCCUU